GACGAACGCUGGCGGCGUGCUUAACACAUGCAAGUCGAACGGAAAGGCCCUGCUUUUGUGGGGUGCUCGAGUGGCGAACGGGUGAGUAACACGUGAGUAACCUGCCCUUGACUUUGGGAUAACUUCAGGAAACUGGGGCUAAUACCGGAUAGGAGCUCCUGCUGCAUGGUGGGGGUUGGAAAGUUUCGGCGGUUGGGGCUGGACUCGCGGCUUAUCAGCUUGUUGGGGUGGUAGUGGCUUACCAAGGCUUUGACGGGUAGCCGGCCUGAGAGGGUGGCCGGCCACAUUGGGCCUGCGGGACGGCCCAGACGCCUACGGGAGGCAGCAGUGGGGAGUAUUGCACAAUGGGCGGGAGCCUGAUGCAGCAACGCCGCGUGCGGGAUGACGGCCUUCGGGUUGUAAACCGCUUUCGCCUGUGACGAAGCGUGAGUGACGGUAAUGGGUAAAGAAGCACCGGCUAACUACGUG
rnacentral:rRNA from 1 species